rnacentral:rRNA from 1 species
UACAGAGGUCCCAAGCGUUGUUCGGAUUCAUUGGGCGUAAAGGGUGCGUAGGCGGCUUUUUAAGUCAGAGGUGAAAUCCUGGAGCUCAACUCCAGAACUGCCUUUGAUACUGAGAGGCUUGAGUCCGGGAGAGGUGAGUGGAACUGCGAGUGUAGAGGUGAAAUUCGUAGAUAUUCGCAAGAACACCAGUGGCGAAGGCGGCUCACUGGCCCGGUACUGACGCUGAGGUGCGAAAGCGUGGGGAGCAAACAGG